AAUACACCUCUGUAUGUGUAACAAUAGCAACUUUCGUAUUUUUUUUUGGGGGUGUCAUUUACCUCAAGGGUUAGAGUGAAUUACUCAUUACUUUCUCUAAGGCCAAAAGAAUUAGAAUACGUAUCUCAUCAAUUGACUUAUUUUGAUAACUCGGUACAAACUUCCAUUCAUUUUAUCCUCUUAAUAAGAGACUCAAAUUCACAACCUUAAGCUAUUUCCAGAAAUAUUAAUGAUUAGAAUUCAAAGCCUUAAGCUAUUUCCAGAAAUACUCACGCCAAACGAGGCUCGUUUUAUCCAUCAUAGAAGUACCUAUUAAUCUCUGCUUACUUUCAACUCCAAAGCAUUUGAGUAAAAUCAAGAUUGAUGUCAUAUUGAUAAAGAUUGGUGCCUUCUAAUUGAUCCAUUGUGAGAAAGUCUUAGGUCAGUGGUUAUGUGGUGAAGCUGAUGGCGAGAAAAUUGGGAAUUGAACUUAUUUCACUCCGUUUUGCUCGAAGACGAUGAAAAUGAAGGCAUGGUGGAACCAUUUUUCAAAAACAUGGAAAACCACAAAAGCCCAGCUCCCAUAUAUUCAUUUGGAUGAGAAUUAAUUUGACCGAUUUUCGUAAAAUUAUGAUUCUUUAUUCAAAGUAAAACUACUUUAAAAUUUGUGUGAUUCUUUAAUAUAGUGUUAUUUAAUUUGUUUGAUGAUA